CUGUUUCCUCUUUGCUUUUUAGCUCCUCUAUUGAGCUCUUUCUGCUAAAGCCAAAAACCACAUGCUACAAUAACAGGGCUGCUUCUUCCAUUACCGAACACAGCAUAGCGAGUUUAUCCAGAGAUGUGGCGGUUCGUUGGUCGCGGCCUUCGCGUUCCUUCUUCUUUUUCUUCUAAGAAAUCGAUCUCUAAUGAUUCUCUUAGAUCUCACAUUUCCAGAUUUUUCUCUACUGAAUCCACUGGGGGACGAUCCUCAUACACAAUUGUUGAUCAUACAUAUGAUGCAGUUGUGGUAGGAGCAGGUGGUGCAGGGUUGAGAGCUGCCAUAGGACUCUCAGAACAUGGAUUCAACACUGCUUGCAUUACCAAGCUUUUUCCAACUCGUUCACACACCGUUGC
rnacentral:misc_RNA from 1 species